ensembl:lncRNA
UUUUCAUUUUUAGUUGCUAAUGUGGCUCGGUGGUGCUCUAACUGCGCUACUAUAUUGGAAGUGUUUCCUGAUGCGGUGACCCAGGUGAUUGAUAUAUGCAUUUUUUUUCUUUUUUUUUUCUGCCCGUUCUGUUGGUUUUUGUUUUUUGCCCUUCUCCCCCGUCCCUCUUCUCAGCUGUUUCUCUUUCCCUCUUUCUUUCUCCCCUUCUUUCCCCCAGUCAAGUCUGUCCCGUAUUCAGUAAGUGAAAAUAAAAUGAACAAUAAAAGGUGAAUCAAAUGGACCAUUACGGCAAGGCUGGGAUGGUCAGUUUGGUAAAGUAAAUCCGUUGGGCAUCUUUCUUUGCCUUUAGACAACAAUUCUGAUGGCAAAAGAGCCAAACGGGACAGGCAAAAAAAAAAAAAAAAAAGAGUGGUAGGUUGACAAGCCUAUGUGAUGGGAUAAAGAGACCGGAGUAUUUAUAAACCUUGGGAAAAACCUUUGGAAUCAGGUCUUUCCAGGGCGAAUUAAGGUAUAACAAGGUUAUCUUAGAGAUCAAAUCUAAUAUUGAAUGGUGAAGACAUUUAUCUGAAUUGUUGCCUAAUGUAUAUCAGAUGAUCUUUAGCUCAUUUAACCAUUUACAGUUAUAGCAUUUUGAAUGAAAGAACUCUCAGUGAUAACUUAAAGCUCAUUUCCAAAUAAAGAUACAGCUCCUUGCAAUGUUAUUAGUCAUUCUCAUUGCUCUCAAAGUUUUCAACAUAAUUAUUCAAUAAUGAUAAUAAUAAUAAUAACAACACACUAUACUGUAUCUCUAAAAAACAUCAAACUGCUGACAGACACAGUUGGGGAUUACCUGAUAAGAGCUGAUGUUUCCCUUAAAGUGGCAUCUGCACAGGGAAAGAUGCUACAGCUUGACACUGUACAGUAGUAACAGGCUGUAAAUGCAAUGUAUUUACCACAGUGCCAUAUGUUAGUCAGCAAUAUCCUGCACUCUUAUUGGUCAUCGCUUCAAUUGCUCAUCUGAAAGUUGAGAAAAUGUAAAGUUUGCAUUACAUGUGAUAUUUCCGAUGAAACUGCUUGAAGUCACUGAUUGUCAUUGACUUUCUGUGGUCUCUUCAUUGCUACAUCACUACAAAUUACUUCCUAUGUUGACACCCCUCCCCCCCAUUAAGAGUUGGUAGAAAAAGAGAGAGGAAGUACUAUGGUAUCAGGUGAUCAAAGUGUAACCUUGGUUAAAAAUAUAAACCCCAAAAAAUCCCAAACAUGUCCACUGAUCAUGUGUCCAUCAGUAAGAAAAACAAACAAACAAACAAACAAACAAACAAACAAACAAACAAAC